ensembl:snRNA U2 U2 spliceosomal RNA
AUCGCUUCUCGGCCUUUUGGCUAAGAUCAAGUGUAGUAUAAAUGUCAAAUCACUAUGUUGUACACCUGAAACUAAUAUAAUCUAUAGCAAUGAUACUUUAAUAAAAAAGAGAACACAGAGAAUAAGAAAAUACAGUUUAAUGCAGGAACCCACUCUGGCCAAUGGACGAUAGCCAUAUGAGUGGGACAUCCU